rnacentral:lncRNA from 1 species
CCGCUCUCCUCGUGAGCCGCGACACAGAGGCGGCGGGGGCCCGAGCUGACGGCGACCCUCCGGCCACGCAGCCCCAGUGUCUUGAGUUACCCGAGGAGGGGGCCAGGCAGGCAGGCAGGCAGGGAGCGGGGGGGCGGAGGAGGAGGAGGAGGAGGGCUGCGCGCGGCUGAAAGCCGCUCCUGCGAGAUGCUGCAAGCGCAGCUCCCCGCCGGAGGGGGGUAGCAGCCUCUGCCGCCGCCGGCUGCUGCCUGUGCGAGGGCUGUUGCCGCCGCUGGACGCAACCUCCUCCCGACAUGGAGCUGUCGCCGCCGCUGCUGGAGUGAGCGAGUGAGCGACGGGCGGAGCAGCCGGCCGCAUGGAUGGAUGUGUUUAGCUUUGUGAAGCUUGGGAAGCUCUCCGGCCACAGGAACAAGUCUUCAGGCUGGCCUCAUCCGUCAGGGACCUGGAGCUUGAACCAGGGGACACCUUAUGGAUGGGAGAUGACGGCAAACAGAGAUGGAAGGGACUACUUCAUCAAGUAAGUGGGUAGUGGGAACCGUGCACACCACAGCAUGGUGUUGCAGCACUACUCCUGACAAUACUUCCUCAGGACCCUAAUUGCAAUUUCA